rnacentral:rRNA from 1 species
UACGUAGGUGACAAGCGUUGUCCGGAUUUACUGGGCGUAAAGAGCGCGCAGGCGGUCGUUCAAGUCGAGUGUGAAAGCCCCCGGCUCAACUGGGGAGGGUCAUUCGAUACUGAUCGACUCGAAGGCAGGAGAGGGAAGUGGAAUUCCCGGUGUAGUGGUGAAAUGCGUAGAUAUCGGGAGGAACGCCGGUGGCGAAAGCGACUGUCUGGGGUGCCUGUGACGCUGAGGCGCGAAAGCCAGGGGAUCAAACGGG